rnacentral:tRNA from 1 species
AUUGUGGUAGCAAAGCAAGACGUUAAUGCAAAAGGCCUAAACCCUUUAACCAGGGGUUCAACCCCCCUCCACAAUA